AUUGAACGCUGGCGGCAUGCCUUACACAUGCAAGUCGAACGGUAACAGGUCUUCGGAUGCUGACGAGUGGCGAACGGGUGAGUAAUACAUCGGAACGUGCCUAGUAGUGGGGGAUAACUACUCGAAAGAGUGGCUAAUACCACAUGAGAUCUACGGAUGAAAGCAGGGGAUCGCAAGACCUUGUGCUACUAGAGCGGCCGAUGGCAGAUUAGGUAGUUGGUGGGAUAAAAGCUUACCAAGCCGACGAUCUGUAGCUGGUCUGAGAGGACGAUCAGCCACACUGGGACUGAGACACAGCCCAGACUCCUACGGGAGGCAGCAGUGGGGAAUUUUGGACAAUGGGCGCAAGCCUGAUCCAGCAAUGCCGCGUGCAGGAUGAAGGCCUUCGGGUUGUAAACUGCUUUUGUACGGAACGAAAAGCCCCGGGAUAAUACCCUGGGGUCAUGACGGUACCGUAAGAAUAAGCACCGGCUAACUACGUGCCAGCAGCCGCCGUAA
rnacentral:rRNA from 1 species